AUUGAACGCUGGCGGCAGGCCUAACACAUGCAAGUCGAACGGUAGCACAGAGAGCUUGCUCUCGGGUGACGAGUGGCGGACGGGUGAGUAAUGUCUGGGAAACUGCCCGAUGGAGGGGGAUAACUACUGGAAACGGUAGCUAAUACCGCAUAACGUCGCAAGACCAAAGUGGGGGACCUUCGGGCCUCACACCAUCGGAUGUGCCCAGAUGGGAUGAGCUAGUAGGUGGGGUAACGGCUCACCUAGGGGACGAUCCCUAGCUGGUCGGAGAGGAUGACCAGCCACACUGGACAUGAGGCACGGUCCAGACUCCUACGGGAGGCAGCAGUGGGGAAUAUUGCACAAUGGGCGCAAGCCUGAUGCAGCCAUGCCGCGUGUAUGAAGAAGGCCUUCGGGUUGUAAAGUACUUUCAGCGAGGAGGAAGGCGUUGUGGUUAAUAACCGCAGCGAUUGACGUUACUCGCAGAAGAAGCACCGGCUAACUCCGUGCCAGCAGCCGCCGUAA
rnacentral:rRNA from 1 species